rnacentral:lncRNA from 1 species
CCUCCUUUCCUUCUCCAUUAACCAUCAAUCCACCUUAUAUCUCUAGGAUGUUAGAAUCUUGCUUUGAAUGUAAGCUCAAUUUCAUUUUUUUCUACCAUCAUCAUGUCUCGAACUUGGUACCCUUCAUUUUUUUUCUCAAGAAUUUGAUCCCUUUACAAUUUUAAUUAUACAAUUUUUCUCCAUCCGUUAACUUAACAUGCAGUCUAUUAAUAAAAUUGUUAACAUGACACUAUACUACACAUCCAUGUUACUGUAUGUUCCUACCAAAUUUGGAAGAAUCUUGUUACGAUGUUACUCCUCCUUGUACUCCUCCUAGUACGGUGGUGGGGUGUACAUGUGAAGAUACUUCGACACUCAAGUUAGAGGCACAAAGAUAGGAAACAUGUAUCAAUAGUGGAUUAGAAUUGAGUGAGUUACUUGGAACCCUUGUGACCUCUUUUACAAUGGUGAAAUUACAUCCAUAGGCCUAAUUUCUCUAAUUAGUUAGUGUUGAGAAGAUAAGAUUGAAUCUAAUCUUAUCUUAUUUGGUAACUAUGUGUCUGAUCUAUAGACAAUCUUAUCUUGAUUUUUUCUUUAUUUUUAUCUGACAAUCAAUGAAGAUAGACUUUCUCUCUUUCCUAAUUUAUCUCAAACGAGUCUCAUGGUGGCUAAGCAAGAUAUCUACUUGGCUGACCAUCGAAUAUAGAGGUUUGUUAAGUUUGAGUAGUACACCAAAUCCAUGUAAACAUUUUACUACCAUGCCAUUAUUUUCAUUAAAUAUUAGAUGUCAAGUUAAUGAAUGAACUAUAAUUCUACAAUUAAAAUACUGAGAGAGGGAUUAAAUUUGAAAAGAAAAAAUAGGAGAGCAAAAUUGAGAAAUGUUGAUGAUGAGGGGAAGUAAAUAUCAAGUCUUCAGUUUUGUUAAACAAAAAAAAAACAAAUAGAAAUGCAACGUAUCCAAUUUCAAAGCAUAAUAAUUUAUUAUUAUAUAAUAAAUUUUUUACAUUUUUAAAUAUGAAACAAGAUUUUAAAUAGACUAAUGAGCCUAGACAAACUUGUAUAAAGGUCAGACCCAAGCCUAAAAACAGGCUUGCGAUAGAUAACAAACUCAAGUUUGAGUUAUAGAAAUAUAAAGUAGGUUAGGCCAAGCUUAGGUAGGAUUUGUCUUGGUCCAACCCAUUGCACCCCUACAUAUGAUGUGAUCAUACAAAAAAAAUAUGAUAUAGGAAAGUUGUGCAUAAAAAGAUAUUGGAGUGACAUUUAUUAAGGAAAAAGUGAUUAAAAUAAAAAUAACUAAGAUGGUUUAAAUAAUAAUAAAAAGAUCAUUAGAGACACCAAUGAAAAAAAAGUAAAUUAUACUUCUUUCAUUCUUAUUUAUAAGACCAGAGUUUUAAAAGAAAAAAUAUCUGUUUUUAUAAUAUUUUAUUUCAAUUAUCUUGUAUAUUAAUUAUUUUCUUACUAAUUUUUUUUUACUAGAAAGAUCAUUAGGGAGUUUAGUUUUUAGCAUAUGAAAAGGGGCGGAGAAACAAGUAAGAUUGAAGAAAAUUAUUGAAAAAUAAUCUUAUAGAAAAUAAUAUUUUUAAAAAAAUUUCCAUUUUUAAUGAAAUUCAAACAUGAUUAAUAGAGUAAACUUUAUCAUAAGUCUAUAGUUAUUGUUGUUUUAAAAUUAGAUAGAACUAUUUUUCAUAAAAUUAAUCUUAAACUUUAAACAUAUUUAUAAUAUGAAUUUAAAUUAUAAAUUUACAUUCAAAGGUAUAUUUUUUCUUUUAUAAAAAAGCAUAAGAAUUGAUUUUAUUUUCUUAAUCCUAAAAUAAACAGCUUGUUAACCGCCGACUUAUGCUGGUCCAGUACAAACCGACCGGACCAGUAGAUAAUUACGAUGAAGAACAUAACCCCACAUUGGAUACCUCUUCUGCAUUUACAAGCACAGCCAAGCCCUAAAAUUGCACCUGUUUGCCUCCAACGCGCACAACACACACAGCAACUCUGGCAAAACACUAAGAGUGGCGUGACAGACAUUAAAUUCAAUUCCUCUCUCUCUCCAGCAAGCAAAGGCCGCACGCACCAGACGAAAUUUCCAAAACUGGCGCAUAUCAUUUACAAAAUUUGCAGCGUGGCACUAUUUAUAGUGGGGUAAACUUAUUUAAUUAUAAAAAGAAAAUCAUUAAAAUAAGGAUUUGAAUUACCCUAAAGUAUAUCCGGUGGAAGUAAUUACAUGACUUGUUUAACUUUUUUUUAUUUUUUUUUAUGCUGAGUUGCUUAAGUUCAAGCAAACGUUACAUGAUUUUCUAUUUUAUUUUUCAGUUGAGUAUAUGAUAUAAAAUUAUUUAUAUAAGUUGUUAUUUAUAUAAAUAAUCACUGUUGAAUAAUAUUUAUAUUAUAAAUAACAUAUAUUUUUUAAUCAUUAUAAAACUCGUAAAAUUAAGUUAAAUAUUGACUUUAACAAUUUUAGCAUUAAAAUAAAUUUUUGUAUAGGUUUUAAAUUUAUGUGAAAUUAUAAGCUUAUAAUAUUAAAAUAAGUAACUCAUCUAAGAAAUUAUAUAUUUUAGUCUAAUUAAUUUAUAUUUUAUAUUAAAUUAUUAAAUGAUGUAAUACUUAUUUAAGGUACAUUGUAAUUUGUUUGUUUCUCAUAUAUAAUAUAUAAUAUAAUAAAUUUUACUCAAUAAAAAUUUGACUUAAUUGUAGUUUGGUCUUUAAAUAUUGUAAUUGUGCUAAUCUGAUUUCUAAUUGCACAAACUGAAUCCCAUAAGUCAAUAAAUAAGUCGGUCAUAUGAUUUUUUUGGUAUUCAUGAUAUUGACUUAAAGUAUUCAUUAAUAAUUUUGUUAAUGAUUAAUUUUUUAUGAAAAUCAAUCAAUUAUUUUUAAUGAAUCUUUUUUUUCAAUUAUAUUUUUUUAUCCAUAAAAUUUAAAUUUAAAACUUAAGAGAUUCGAGCUUAGUAUUUUCGACUAAUAAUUUAUUGGUUUAAUUAUUCAGUUAUAAUCUUUCUAUUAGUGUUAUGUUUUUUUUUUUUAAAUACUAACUUAAUUAACUUGAUGAUGGAUGAUGAUAUAUCAAUGACACAGAUAUAUUAUCUUAUGCAUAUGUUGAUGUGGCUUAUGAUGUAAUUAAGUCACAUCAAUAUAUUAUUAGAUUCAGAUAGCACGUUAAUUAAGAUCUGAUAAAAUAUUUAAUAAAACAUUAAAAGUAAAUAAUAAUCGCUAAACAUCAUCAAAAUAUUAAUCAUUAGAUUCAAUUUUUGCAAUUAAAACCAGAAGAACUAAAUCAUACAAUUACAAUACUUAAAAUAAAAAAAAAUUAAACUUAAAUGUUAUAUUUAAAAAAAGGACGAAACUUAAAACUUAAAUACAAUUGUAUGAUUAAUUUUAGUAUUGUCUUUAAUGAGAAUUAAAGUUUUAUUCACUAAUUUAUGUAAUAAAACAUUUCAAUAAGUGAGGUAAAACUCCAAUUGAUUGAAGAAUACCACCAACACCAACACCACCACCACCUGCGAAACUGUAUCUCAAUUGUCCUUAAUAAAAAUGUUAAAUAGUACAUUAUUCUCCUUGCCUGUCAUUAUUUAUGUGCCCCCACUUUAAUUUUUCUGAUGUACUUAACCCAGGGCAAACUGAAACAUGUUCCUCAUGCAAAGCCCCAACUCAUCAUGCAUCAUGUACGUGUCAUCAUCCAGCAACUCCACUUUUGCUAUAUAACACCACCCCCAUCACACUCCCCAUCUCUAACACACACAUACCCCCAACUAACAAUAAUUCCUUCACUUGCAGAACUUAGUUCUCUGUUGCAUCAUCAUCAUCUUCAUUAGUGUUAGCCCUAAACUUCACCUUCAACCAUGACCACAGUGCCACCACACAGUGUCCAAGUGCACACAACAACACACCGCUACGAAGCCGGCGUCGUCCCGCCGGCUCGUUUUGAGGCGCCGCGUUACGAAGCCGGCAUCAAGGCGCCCUCUUCCAUUUACCAUUCCGAGAGAGGUCCGACGACCUCUCAGGUUCUCGCAGUUGUCGCCGGCCUUCCGGUCGGCGGCAUCCUCCUGCUCCUGGCAGGACUGACCCUGGCUGGAACUCUCACCGGGCUGGUGGUGGCAACACCGCUCUUCAUCAUCUUCAGCCCGGUGCUGAUUCCGGCCACGGUCGCAAUUGGCCUGGCCGUGGCCGGGUUCCUGACGUCGGGAGUCUUUGGGCUCACGGCGCUGUCGUCCUUCUCCUGGAUCCUGAACUACAUCCGGGAGACCCAGCCGGCGUCGGAGAAUCUGGCCGCUGCGGCGAAGCACCAUCUGGCGGAGGCGGCGGAGUACGUGGGGCAGAAGACCAAAGAAGUAGGGCAGAAAACCAAGGAAGUUGGGCAGGAUAUUCAGAGCAAGGCACAAGAUACAAGGGAAGCAGCUGCAAGAGAUGCAAGAGAUGCAAGGGAAGCAGCUGCAAGAGAUGCAAGGGAUGCAAAGGUGGAGGCGAGAGAUGUAAAGAGAACAACAGUGACAGCAACAACCGCAACCGCAUGAACGUGAUGAGUAUUAAUGUGUUGUUAUGAACUUAUGAUGUUGGUUUAUGUGGGGAAAUAAAUGAUGUAUGUACCUCUUCUUGCCUAUGUAGUAGGUUUGGGUGUUUUGUUGUCUAGCUUUGCUUAUUUAGUAAUUAGUAGAAGGGACGUUCGUUCGUGUCUCAUAAAAAGGGGUACUACCACUCUGGCAAUGUGAUUUGUAUUUGAUGAAUUCAAUGUGAAAUGUGUUUUGCGUUGGUGUAUGUAAUUUCUCGUCCAAUGUGCUUUUAGAACAACGUACGGUGAAAUUUAAGCUGUGCAUUGUUGAUAAUUCUUCGUUCAAAAUCAAAUUGCUAGCAAAUUUUAACUAACAUGAAAUUUUGUCAACAGUACAGCACUCAUUAACCAAGUUCCAAACUAAGAUGCGCCAUUAACAUCAACCAAUAGCAUUUUUCAGCAUAAGGAGGCUUUGACAUGCAAAAAUAUCUUAAUAUAUAGAUAAGCAUGUGAAGUAGGAAAUUAACUUGUUAAGAUUUGUUUCGCUUUUUCUUCAAUGAAAACAGUUCUUAUAUGUAUAAGAAAAAAAAUAAAUGAGUUUUCCUAUAAUUUUAAAUUAACUUAUACACAGGCUAGCCUUUAAAAAAAAAACCUAUACACAGGCUAAGUUUUAGAAGUUUUCUAGAAAUUAUGACAAUAAGCUUUGUUUAAAAAAAUAAUUAAAAUAAGCUAUUUUUAAAUUUUAGAAGCCCAUUUUAUUUUUUCUUGUUUUUCUCCUUUAUUUUCUUCUUUCUCAGAAAGAAACCAUCGUCAAAACUCAAAAGGCCUUCUCUGACGCAAGAUACCCUCUGCUGUGUGGGUUAUAAUAAAUUUUUUCUCUCCCGUUUAGUAAAAAAGUAACACUAUCUAACAAAAUGACGACGUGAGCUUGUUAAAACGUCUUUAACAUGUGUAAGACCUUAAUGUUACUAGGGGGAAAAAAAUAAUUGUCUAACCAAUAAAGAACAUUCUCAAUGUAGCUAAAACUUCAACAUAAAUUGCAUUCGGUGAUGGGAUUUACAAUUGAAUUGAAUUGACAAACAUCCUGGAGCAUCAUCAAAAUUUUCAAGAAAUGUAUCAAAACUAUGUAGCUUACCAAAUUCCCAAGUUAGUCAAUUUUUUUUUUCUGAAGUGCGUUAGUUAAAUUCUUGAUACAACAACAAAAACAAAGUUGUGGCUGGGCUGGGACAGGAAGAGCAUAUUUAAUUCAAUGUUGGGGUUAAGGUCCAGCUUCAGCAUCUGUGCCACCAUUAUUUAGCUUUGAAUCAUUAUUGGGUAUCCAAAACGUGAGAACACUUGAAGCUGCAGCGAACAUGGCCUUGUGAGGGGCCCACUUCAAGCACGAAGGAACACCAAUAUGGCUGGUCCAACAUGCCACCUGCAGGGAAGAAAACCAGAGGCUCAUCAUCGCAAAAAUUUUGCGCUAUUACAUUGACAAAAUAUAAAAUAUUGGUUAAAAUAUGACUUUUUCUUUUAAUCUUUUAUUAAAAUUUCAUUUAUUUUUAGGUCUUAAAAUUAAAAGUUAGGUACUUUUAAUCCUUGAUGAGUGACACCAUAUUUUUGUUGAAAUGCAGAGAUUAAAACGAUUUUUUUUAUAUAACAUUAAAACUAAAAACGAG